GACAGAGGGUGCAAACGUUGCUCGGAAUCACUGGGCGUAAAGCGCACGUAGGCGGAUCUUUAAGUCAGGGGUGAAAUCCUGGAGCUCAACUCCAGAACUGCCUUUGAUACUGGAGAUCUCGAGUCCGGAAGAGGUGAGUGGAACUCCGAGUGUAGAGGUGAAAUUCGUAGAUAUUCGGAAGAACACCAGUGGCGAAGGCGGCUCACUGGUCCGGUACUGACGCUGAGGUGCGAAAGCGUGGGGAGCAAACAGG
rnacentral:rRNA from 1 species